rnacentral:rRNA from 1 species
GGUAGCGCAAUCACUUGUCUUUUAAAUGAAGACCUGUAUGAAUGGCAUCACGAGGGCUUAGCUGUCUCCUCUUUCAAGUCAAUGAAAUUGAUCUGCCCGUGCAGAAGCGGACAUAAGAACAUAAGACGAGAAGACCCUAUGGAGCUUUAGACACCCGGCAGACCAUGUCAAGUAACCCUGUUAUUGGAUUAAAACAGAACGGCUCCUGGCCCACAUGUCUUCGGUUGGGGCGACCACGGGGGAAAAUAUAGCCCCCAUGCGGACUAAGGGUAACACCCUUAUAACCAUGAACUACAGCUCUAAGUCUCAGAAAUUCUGACCAAAAAGAUCCGACACCCGUCGAUCAACGGACCAAGUUACCCUAGGGAUA